ensembl:lncRNA
AAACAGAGAUAGAGGGAGAGAGCUGGAGAGGAGACAAAUUGAAAACGCCUCCAUUACAGCUGUAGCCUCUCUCUAGCUGUCAGGCUGAUUGACGACUGAGACAGAACGUGAAUAUCAAAUCCUGCAGAAACAUUGGGGCGCCAGGUAAACGUACACAGGGCAGACCAGAUCCGAUCAGAUGAGUGGCAGGAGCGCUGUAGCCAUGGUAGCCGAGAGGGCAGCGUAAACAGAAGUCACCGUCCACCAGCAGUGCCAGGCUGGGUGUCGUUCCCCUCGGAGCUCUGAUCACCGCGCUGGAGCGAGACGCCUCUGCAUUUGGACCUGUUGGCUCUCGAUCACGGCUCUGUGACUUCUCCUGGACAUCACGAGUUAGUUUGGCUGAAGGAUGGGAAAGUGUUGCCUGCAACUUGGUACACAUACGCAUUGCUACCUGUACUAUUUGAUUGUAUUUAACGAUACAUAUACUUUCUUUAUUUCAUGGGACAAAGUGUUAAUAAAAACACAUGGAUCCAGUCCAUUUAUAACGACCGAAUGCUAUUUUUGAUGGUAAUAAAAAACGUAUGUAAUACUAUUAAUCAAGAAUGGAGGAGUCAGCAGCAUGUGAA